AUUGAACGCUGGCGGCAGGCCUAACACAUGCAAGUCGAGCGAGCGGCGGACGGGUGAGUAAUGUAUGGGGACUGCCCGAUAGAGGGGGAUAACUACUGGAAACGGUAGCUAAUACCGCAUACGAUCGGAUAACCCAUAUGGGAUUGGCAAGUAGGUGAGGUAAUGGCUCACCUAGGCGACGAUCCCUAGCUGGUCUGAGAGGAUGAUAAGCCACACUGGAACUGAGACACGGCCCAGACUCCUACGGGGGCAGCAGUGGGGAAUAUUGCACAAGGGGCGCAAGCCGGAUGCAGCCAUGCCGCGUGGAUGAAGAAGGCACUAGGGUUGUAAAGUACUUUCAGUCGGGAGGCGUUACCGACAGAAGAAGCACCGGCUAACUCCGUGCCAGCAGCCGCGGUAAUUC
rnacentral:rRNA from 1 species